UACAGGGGGUGCAAACGUUGCUCGGAAUCAUUGGGCGUAAAGCGCACGUAGGCGGUUCGUUAUGUCGGAUGUGAAAGCCCUUGGCUUAACCGAGGAAGUGCAUCCGAAACUGGCGAGCUAGAGUACGAAAAGAGGAUCGCGGAAUUCCCGGUGUAGAGGUGAAAAUUCGUAGAUAUCGGGAGGAACACCGGUGGCGAAGGCGGCGAUCUGGGGUCGAUACUGACGCUGAGGCGCGAAGGCCAGGGGAGCAAACGGG
rnacentral:rRNA from 1 species